UAAUUUAAUUACAUGAGAAGGAAGAGGGAGCUCUGUUAUGUAAAAAUUCAGAAGUGUCUCAUAGACUAGCUAAAGGCAGAGGGACAUAAUGUUUCUUGGAACCCCAGUGAGGUUAUUUGGACAAACAUUUUAUUAUUAUAUUUGUGCAGCUAAGUCACCGUGAUUGAUGGACUGGGUAACAAGUCUGAAGAAUUGCCAGAGCAGAUGUUAUGUUGUGUGAGACAAUGAAAUUGAUUACUGAAAUUAUCAGUAGCUAUGUGGUCUAUUAGUCUACUCUUCAGCCCAACUAGAAUCCGCGUAGUUCUAGGUCUCGGUUGUCAUGUUUUCUAAAGUGCAACCUUAGACCUGGUGUCAUUUUGAGGUAUUUUGGAAUACGAUAAACAACUUCCAAGUAACAUUCAAUGUAUGAUAGACUCUUUUCAUGGUUGGGGGUAACAUUUGUACCCCUUUUGAGUACUAGAAUACUCACCCAAUGAAGAUGCACUAAUGAGAUUUGGGGUUAUGUUA